rnacentral:rRNA from 1 species
CGCUGGCGGCGUGCCUAAUACAUGCAAGUCGAGCGGACGAUUCAAAAGCUUGCUUUUGGAUCGUUAGCGGCGGACGGGUGAGUAACACGUGGGCAACCUGCCCUGUAGACGGGGAUAACACCGAGAAAUCGGUGCUAAUACCGGAUAACACGGAAGACCGCAUGGUUUUUCGUUGAAAGGCGGCGCAAGCUGUCGCUACAGGAUGGGCCCGCGGCGCAUUAGCUAGUUGGUGAGGUAACGGCUCACCAAGGCGACGAUGCGUAGCCGACCUGAGAGGGUGAUCGGCCACACUGGGACUGAGACACGGCCCAGACUCCUACGGGAGGCAGCAGUAAGGAAUCUUCCGCAAUGGACGAAAGUCUGACGGAGCAACGCCGCGUGAGCGAAGAAGGCCUUCGGGUCGUAAAGCUCUGUUGUUAGGGAAGAACAAGUACCGCAGUCACUGGCGGUACCUUGACGGUACCUAACGAGAAAGCCACGGCUAACUACGUGCCAGCAGCCGCGGUAAUACGUAGGUGGCAAGCGUUGUCCGGAAUUAUUGGGCGUAAAGCGCGCGCAGGCGGUUCCUUAAGUCUGAUGUGAAAGCCCACGGCUCAACCGCGGAGGGUCAUUGGAAACUGGGGGACUUGAGUGCAGAAGAGGAGAGCGGAAUUCCACGUGUAGCGGUGAAAUGCGUAGAGAUGUGGAGGAACACCAGUGGCGAAGGCGGCUCUCUGGUCUGUAACUGACGCUGAGGCGCGAAAGCGUGGGGAGCAAA